GAUGAAGAACGGAGCGAAAUGCGAUACGUAAUGUGAAUUGCAGAUCUCUCAGUGAACCAUCGAAUUUUUGAACGCACAUAGCGCCCGCCGGUCAUUCCGGCGGGCAUGCCUGUCCGAGCGUCGAUGACGCCGCUCGAGCCCCAGUGCUCGGUGUUGGGGCGCUAGGUCUCCCAGAGGCCUAGGCCCCCAAGUAGCAGUGCGCGGUCCGGCUGCGGGCCCCGGGUACAGUAACUUCACUGUUGAGAUGCCCUGGGAGCCGCUGGCUGGGACAGCCGUAAAACCCCCGACAUAGGCCUUCCUGUCCGCCCCCGGCGGGGAGGGAGACCGCCUAAUGUUGACCUCGGAUCAGGUAGGACUACCCGCUGAACUUAAGCAUAUCAAUAAGCGGAGGA
rnacentral:misc_RNA from 1 species